GCAAGUCGAGGGGUAGAGGCUGUCGGGCCUUGAGACCGGCGCACGGGUGCGUAACGCGUAUGCAAUCUGCCGUACACUAAGGGAUAGCCCAGAGAAAUUUGGAUUAAUACAUUAUAGUAUAUUAAUGUAGCAUUACAUUACUAUUAAAGAUUUAUCGGUGUAAGAUGAGCAUGCGUCCCAUUAGCUAGUUGGUAUGGUAACGGCAUACCAAGGCAAUGAUGGGUAGGGGGCCUGAGAGGGUGAUC
rnacentral:rRNA from 1 species